CCACCAUCGUCGCUCAAGAAAAAAAAACUGCCGCCAGACAAACACAUCUCCUCCCCACCUCUGCCCGCCCCUCGCUCCCGAUCUCGUCUCUCUCCUGCCAAAUAUCGUCGAACGAGCGCAGCGGAGGCACCGAGAAGGAGGGGGUCGGCUCGCUCGCUUUUGCUGCUCACGAUCAUGCCCACCGCCGAGCCCCAAGUCGCGGGACACCGGGCGCGGCCACCCCCGCUGCCGCCUUCGCAGGGACGGGAAGAGCAGGGCCGCGGGAGUCGGCGAGGCCUCCAAGGAGGGCGCCGUCCCCGAACCCGACCCCCACCCCCAGGCGAGUUCCGGUUCCGCCGCCCUGUAAUCCGCUCGAGACCGCCUCCCCGCGUGUGUCUUCGUUGCCAUCCGGCCUUAUUCCUGGAUUGGGUCUUGUGACCACAAACCUAGAGACAUACAAGAUCGAUGAGAUGUGAUCGUUGGUAGUAACUAAGGUGGUUUGGUGUUUCAUGAAGUUUUACAGAUUGGUGCUCAUGCCGUGGUGGUAUGCCAGCUGUUGCAGCAUGCGUUAGCAAUCAACACCAGGACUCCAUAAAGACCCAAAGAGAAGCAGAGGAACAAUGAAGAUAUGUAUAUACCGAGCAUGUAGUGCAGCCUGCAAGUUGCCGGCAUUCUUCAGGGAACUCUGAAGCAUGUGGUUCAAGUAAAUAUUGUACGGUCAGGGAAAAUCUUUGCAUAUUCAGGAGCAGACCGCAAGCUGCUGGUGCGAAAACACAAUUGGUACCGUACAGCAGGCAAAGCUUCACUACAGAGUUCUGCAUAGGGAUAUGCAUUUUGCAAAGGUUUGAUGCAUGACAUGAUUGCAGAUGCGUGUAGAUUUCAGCUUGUGCAAGAUAAAAAAUGAAGGCAAGGAGGGAGGGGCAGAAGAAAUGAUGAUUGUCGAGGGGGGAAGAAGUGGGAUAAAAUCAGUUUAUUGAUGUUAGUGCGCGCCGACUAGGCCGGCCCAACUGUAGCCGAGGCCAAGCCCAGCUGGCGAGGGGAAUCCGGGUCGGACCCGCACCACCGUCGCCCCCUCCCCAAGCCGAGGCCCCUCGGGCCUUUAUAAGUGGAGCCCCGCCACCGCCCUCCUCCCCACAAGCCGCCACCGCCCCGCACCGCCUCCACCGAACGCCGCCGCCGGAGCCGAAGCCUGAUCCGCCGUUGCCGAUGCCGACCCCGCCAUUGACCUCGCCGCCCGUUUUGACUGAGUUUCCGGAGUGCGAGGCUUGCUACUACGAAUCGCUAGGGUUUUUGGAUCG